AGAGGGUGCAAGCGUUAAUCGGAGUUACUGGGCGUAAAGGGCGCGUAGGCGGAUUUCUAAGUCAGAUGUGAAAUACCCGAGCUUAACUUGGGGGAGUCGUCUGAUACUGGGAGUCUAGAGUAUUGGAGAGGGAAGUGGAAUUUCCGGUGUAGCGGUGAAAUGCGUAGAUAUCGGAAGGAACACCCGUGGCGAAGGCGACUUCCUGGCCAAAUACUGACGCUGAGGCGCGAAAGCGUGGGGAGCAAACAGGAUUAGAUACCCUGGUAGUCCACGCCGUAAACGAUGAGAACUAGCUGUUGUGAGGCAAGACCUCGCAGUGGCGUAGCAAACGCGAUAAGUUCUCCGCCUGGGGAGUGCGGCCGCAAGGUUA
rnacentral:rRNA from 1 species